rnacentral:lncRNA from 1 species
AUUUUCUCUGGCUCAAAGGUUGAUAAGCUAUGUCUUGGAGAAGUUAAAUAGCAUUUCCAAAUUCACAUUAUGCAUCGUGGCAGAUCCAGGUGAGGGGCCAAGCAUUCUGACUUCUCGUGUUUUCUCUCUGCAUAUAAUCCAGAUGCUGAAAGCACAUUCUGUGGGCAGCUGCAUCCUUGAACAUUGUCUGGAGCCUGCUCUAUUUUGAAAGAACUCUUUGCUGCAUGCUCUAGGGCACAGAUGGAGGCAGCAUCAUAGGUGGGUUAAGCAGUUACCUCCUCUUUGGCACAACCUGCUAAGCUAACCUGAGUACUCCCAACCAUUAUUCCACAAGCCUCUACCGAGUGCCUCCUGUAUGACAAGUGUCAUAGAACUCACAUCAACAGGAUGCAUUUCCUGGAGGCACAGUUCAAUAGAGAGCUGGGGGUGAAAAAAAAAGAGAGAAAAGAAAAAAUAAGAAAGCUAUAACAUUUGAGCUUGAAAUGUCACAGGGAGCCAAGGAAGUUGUCUGAUGGAUUGCCCUGUCAUCUCCAAGCCAAAAGAAAAAAAAUUUCAGAUCCAUCAAUUUGUUCCUGCCCUUUUAAUCCAAGCAAUACUUUACAGCAUCAGAAUGCAAAGAAAUUAUUUUCUUAGACGAAUCCUCAUGUGGACUGCUGAGCACUUAACCAGAAAACAGCAAGAGAGAACUGUAGGUUGUUCAAGUGUCUGCACAUCUGAUUGAUCCAGAUUGAAUGUACAAUAUACUGGAACACAUAUGAGAGCCUACUGGUGACAUAUGUUCAUUCAUUCAUCCAUGUGGAGUUGACAUCGCUUUGCCAUAGACAAUGAAUUUGAAGAGACACCUGUGUACAUGUGCACCAGCUGCCCAGGUUGAGGACUGCUCCUGCCUGCUCUGGACCUGCUCCUCCCUUUGGCUGGCUUUCCAAUUAGUGUAGACAUGUUCUCCCAUAUCCUAGCCUCUCUUUGGGCCACAUUUGAGGAUACCACCAACCAACCCUUGGAUCAAAUGCUUGGCUCUUGGGCUCAGACCCUGUAGGGAUAUAGCUUUAUUUGCAAAGUAGGCUGAAAGACUCCCUCUCUUGACAAGGAAAGCUGAUUGGCAGUAUGAAGAGUACACUGCAGAAGUUUUGAGGAGGACAAGCACUUACGAUGGCUUUACAGGGAUGGCUGCCCAAGUGAGAUAGAAUUUAACAUGACAAAAUGAAGGCACAGAGAAAUGAUAUAGCUUGCUCAAGGUCAUACAGAAGUGGUCGAUCUGGGAUUUGAACCCAUGUCAUCUGAUGGCAGAGCCUUCACAAGCCUGGCAUGUAUUGCUUGCUAGUGAUUCCAUAUCUACCUGUCUGUAAUUUCUGUCUAAUUCCAUUUUCUGUAGGAAUUCAAAUCAGUAAACAAAAAAUUUUUUGC